rnacentral:rRNA from 1 species
CUGGCGGCGUGCCUAACACAUGCAAGUCAAGCGAGGAGAUUCCUUCGGGAUGAUCCUAGCGGCGGACGGGUGAGUAACACGUGGGCAACCUGCCUCAUAGAGAGGAAUAGCCUUCCGAAAGGGGGAUUAAUACCUCAUAACAUUGCAGUUUCGCAUGGAACAGCAAUUAAAGGAGCAAUCCGCUAUGAGAUGGGCCCGCGGCGCAUUAGCUAGUUGGUGAGGUAACGGCUCACCAAGGCGACGAUGCGUAGCCGACCUGAGAGGGUGAUCGGCCACAUUGGGACUGAGACACGGCCCAGACUCCUACGGGAGGCAGCAGUGGGGAAUAUUGCACAAUGGGGGAAACCCUGAUGCCAGCAACGCCGCGUGAGUGAUGACGGCCUUCGGGUUGUAAAGCUCUGUCUUCAGGGACGAUAAUGACGGUACCUGAGGAGGAAGCCACGGCUAACUACGUGCCAGCCGCGGC